ensembl:lincRNA
AAAACUUUAGACUUUAUUAUGUCUAGUUGAAACCCAUGAAAACAGUUAUGUUCUUAUGCACAACAUCUGAAACUGUAAAUAUAAACCCGAGUUUUCUCCCAUGGAUAGUGUAACAGAACAGCAUACAUACAAAGAAAAUGUCAAGUAGAAUCCCAAUCACAUUUCACAUCUCGGCACAGCUGUCUUCCUGCCUGUUCCCCUGCAGAAAAAAGGGGUCACCGAGGGACUGAGAGCUGCAGGGACAGCAGGUCAAAUGAUGGAAACAGGAGGUAGGGGCAAGGCCAGUCCCUGUGGCUGGAAGGCAGCAGUGGCAGGCACGGCUUCCCACUGGGUCAGUUUUGUUGUCACACGGACGUAGGAUCGAUCCCCACUUAGGACGGAGGGUGAUCUUCCCCCCGGAUGCUCCGAUACUUGGCCAUGUCUUCUGGAAACACUUUAGAAAGUUCCUGAAUCAGUAGGCUUUUAAAUUUCUAAACAAACAAACAAAAAAAAAAAUCCAAGUCAUAGACAACACAGCCCAUCCAAGGAGCCCAGCUUCCCACUGAGCCACCCAAAGGGUGGAGCCAGGUCACCCAGAGCUAACUACUCCAUGUUUCCAAUUAACUUGUUAAAGGGACGCCACCUCUCUGAAGGGGACUGUAUCUUUAAGACAAUUCCUUCCCUUUGGCUUAAGAAGGAAACACCUGACUGAGCACCUCCAACCAGGUGCUCCCACCGCAGUGAGAGGACUUCUGCAGGCAACACACACCCCGGAAUCUUAGCGCUCACUGAAGCAAUUACUCACAGAAUUACACAGGUCAAGUAUGCAAACAUCUCCCAAGCUUUCUCCAGCCCCAGAGAGGCAUUGUCCACUUCUCCAGCCACCUAUCCCUCACAGUGGUUUUAUCCAGUCGAAAAAAAGCCUCUACUCUCAGGGCCAAAGGGCCAGUGUCACAAAGACACAUGCUAUCCCACUGCCACAACUGAAAAACUGUAACUGGUGCCCACUGGGGACAUGCAGGCUGCAGAAGUGUGGCUUGAGACUGUCACAGGUCUCAGGUGAGAGAUGGCAGCAAGAGCGACAAGUGCUCGGGGAAAAUUAACCACAUGGGCACCAUCAAUGGGCAAUGCACUCCAGCACAGCCUGAGGCAGUGAGUCUGAGAUACAGGUAGGACUGGAAGCCCCAGCCCCAGGGGCCAGUCACUGUCCAGAGGGGAUUUCUGCUGGGCGUCCAGGAAUUCCUCAGCCCAAGCUGACAGGGGAGAUGAUGCAGGGGCUCACAGUUAGCCUGACCAACCCCACUUCUGCAGCACAUGAUCUGAUGGAGCCCCUUGUUCACUCCAGCAGCAGGCUCUCUGUGCUGCCUGCACAAUGCAGACACACCCAGCAUGCAUGGGCCAGGCUGGCAUCAGGCAAGUGGUGAGCAGCACAGGCAGAGCAUGCAAUGCUGGAGUGAGGCCAGCAGGACAGCUGACAGUGGGUGGAGAGAAAGAUACAGACACCCCUGUGGAAGGAAUUCUAAGGAAAGCCAGGCUGAGCUCUCAGAGGAAGCAAAGCUGGCUGAGCUGAGAAGGAGGCUCAUUGGGCAAAAGGAACAUGAAUUCCAGGCCGAGGAGAACACAACCCAAAACAGGGCCUGGUGGCUAAAGGGGAGCCAGGAAAGAGAAGGGCACAUAGUGCUGUCCCUAUGGCCACACACAGUGCAGCCAUCUGAGAAGCACGUACCAUCAGUGACCUCUGUGAGAAAACUGUAGUCCAUGUCAAGACACAGCUCGCUAGAGCAGCCCAGUUCUCGGUGUACAGUGUCACAGUGUAAAGAACACUGAGGAGCAGCCCAGAGCUCAGUGAGAGACUAGAUGUACACCAUCCAGGACCCUCCAACUGUAGCACCAUUAGCACCGGAAAGGCCUCCAGUCAGGGUCUACACAGAAUCGAAACAGGCACACUCAUGUCGGAUGUUACCCAGGGAAGUCAGUCAGGAAAGCCACAGUGAAAACACUGAUGGCCGGGGACAUCGCCAGAUAAACUCAGCCUCUCCUCAUUGUCACACCGUCAGUUUGUGUUGUUUUCCACAGUACUAUGGCUCAGUGACAUUCCAUGUAACUAUUAUACAUGCUAGAAAGCCCACAGUGUGGCAGUACUCAGCAGUCCACAGAGUGGGUGCUAAGCCUGUCCGCAGGCUUGCUAGGCGCCCUUGUCCAAGUGCACACAUCACUUCCUGUCUCCUCACCUUCAUUGUGUCGAUCUUGCCCUUGACUUGCUCGUUCUUAGCUAGAGCCCUCUCCAGGCAUUCUUUGGUAUAGAGCUGGGGAUUCCGACCUUGAUCAAUGUAUCUGGAAAGAAGAGCAUCAUGGUAAACACACGGCUGACUCACCUAACCUCAGUUUUCUGGAAACUAGGACAAAAAAUAAAAAUCCGGCAGAUACGCCCUCACAGGACCUGGUCCAGGAGCCGGGUGUGCUUACACACUUGAGUCUCUCCAAGCGUCUCUGUUUCUUCCAGCAGCUCACGACGAGCCACACCCACUCACAUCUGUGCAGCACUCACAUUCAAACGCAGUGCAUGAGAAGAGAAGAGCGCAGCACACAUCUAUGAUGCUACCCUUUGGAUUCUCCACAUCGUAAUAAAGAAGCCCGUAAUGUUAAAUGCAGUGCAAGAGUUCACAUCUGUGACAGGCACAGCCGGGAUGUGGCAUGCACCCCAGGCCAGCCUGACUACUCGGGAUAUGCUGUGUGGACAAGUCAGAAGGGAGGAGCAUCGGAGCCAUAUGAGGACAGCAGUGUGCACUGCAUUAUUAGACACAUUCUAGGGACCUAAUACAACAGGGUUUCUCUCCACUUAGUCCAUGGACCAAACUCUCUCUUGGCGCUGUCAAUACUUUUAGCCAAAAUGCCAUCAUAUCUUCAUGUCAUAAAACCUACUGCCCACAAUAUCCAGAUUUUUCAAGAAUAGAGUAUGUGGAUAUCUCUGUAUACGAAGCCUGUUUUUAUAUAUUUGACAAGCUUUAAAUUUCUCAUUUUCAUGUGACACUGUUUUCAACAACACAACCCUGGAGAGAUAUUUAUCCUUUUUUAACCCCAUUAGCCUACUACAACCCUAGAGGACUGGUGGUCCUGCCUGCGGCACCUGGGCCACGCCCAGUCUCACUGGCACUCACAGCUAACCAAGAAUCAGAGAGACCCAGUGAUACUUACUCAAAAACUUCCAGAGGCACCGUGAUAUCGUGCAGCUGCUGUCUGCAUUUAUCUAUGUCCUGUAAGCCCGUAACAAUAAAGUUCCUGGGAAAAAGGCAGGGUAGGGUAUGUGGUUAGUUCGGAGGACAGCACAGCACACCCCUACAUGGCACCGGCCACUGUGCUUCAAGUACUGAGGGUUAAAAUGGCCAAGGUCAGGGGCCCCGGGGCAGAUAACUGAGGUGGCAGCUGGGUGUGAGAUAACCACAGGAACUGGAUAAGAGAGCAAGGCCAGUCACAGCAGGCUCUGGUCUAGGCAAUGCGCCAGCUUAUUCCCAUCCCACAAAGCCCUCCUUGAGGGCCGGUACCACAACUCUGUACCUUCGUAAGCAUCCCAACUGAGGCUCAUCCCUGUACCCAGCGUUAAGAGACUGAACUGUGGGUAAAGAUGGUUUCUAGGGCAGUCUCUCAUUCCAGAAAAGGGUCUCCCCCCCCCCGGGGGGGUGGGGAACAGAGAGAGGGGGCUUCCAGGUCCAGACACCAGAGGCAGGCCUUGCCUUUCUGUUGGACUGGCUUCCUUCUCCCAGUCGACUAGAUGAACCCUGACUACCUGCGUGCUCUACCUGUACCUUCAUGUCACCCCCCCCCCCAACCCAGGAGCACCAGCACCAAGGCAGCUAAACGGCUGGGAUCAGAGGGAAGUCGGGAGACCGGUGCUAGCUACCCUAACAGGCUUCUUCCUCCCUGUGCUGCACACACCUGAACCUUUAAUUGCCACAGGAUUCUGGGGACACCUUUGGACUUACAAAAUACGCUCAGAUAUACUUAAUAAUUUUCCCUUCUAAACUGAGAAAGGUGAAGACGGAGCAGAGCUUUCUGGAGUGCAUGUCACUGAAUGGGGUUUCAGGGCAGACAGCGUGGAGAAGUGGGCUCCAGCUAAAGUGCGGUACCCACAGUCUGCAAGGAAAAAGCCCAUCCCUAGUGGGUUGAACCUCCGGCUCCCUCCAGAAGUGUCCGCGUUGCCUACCUCCCCUUAACGGCAUCAGGGUAGUGACAGAUUGCCCUGUAGGGUCAGAGUGGUGCCAGUCUCCCCUGUGGGGUCAGGGACGGAUCGUCCUCCCCAGUGGAGUCAGGAUGGAACCGGCCUCCAGUGGGGUCAGGAUGGUGCCUGCCCGCCCCGGUCAGAAUGGAACUCGUCUCCCCGGUGAGGUCCGGUCAAGGGUCCCCUCGGGGUCCCGGGAUGAACGUUAGAGCCCCAGUGGGGUACCCAAGGCCAGCGGGCAGGGGCUCCGCACAGAGGCGCCGAGCCCCGCCGGGCCAUCACUCACAGCUUCUGGCUCAGCCCCGCCUGGCUGCUGGGCUGGAAGUCGCUGACGAUGAUGCCGAGCUGCCGAAUGUUCUCCACGAACUUCUCCAGAUGCUCCUCCAGGUGGUCAAACUUCUCCGCCAUCGCCGGUUCCGCCCGCC